rnacentral:lncRNA from 1 species
AGCGGUAUUGACCGACAAUUCAAAUUUGAAAUCGCGUAGCCUUAGACCUAAAGCAAACAAUAUUCCUAGUGGAUUGAAUUGUUACUAGAUAAUUAUGAAAAUUUUCAUAACUGCAAAAUCAUGGAUCAUGGUGAUAUUAAUAGAUUGUUAUUUAUAACGUUUGUGUAAAAUCAACUUACUUUAGAAUCACGAGUAAUCAAUUAGUUGUAGACUCCUGCCAAAAAUUAAGUUAGCUAGCAUGGUAGCAGCAGCAUUAAGAAAUAACAAAAAGGAGCUGUUAACUUCCUAUGGUUAUUGCUCUUGAGUCUUGACCAUCAAAAUUCUAUUUGAAAUUCAACUCCAACAGAGUUUUAUCCAUUUUCUUCUUUGUCUAGCUCUGCUACUUUUCGUCUUAGUUUGGACGAAAACAGCAGAAAUGGGGCAGGAGGAGGGGGAGGAGGUGUGAGAAAGAAGUAUGCAUCAAAACUGUAUAAUUGAAAAACUCAUUAUACAUGAUACAUUCGUGGAAUCUUAAUUUACUUGAUAGUACAUCUACUACAUGAAGUGUCUUAAUGACCUGAUUCCAAAAGAAAUCAAGCAAAUGAUACCUCUGGCUGCUGCAACUUUUGGCUCGAGAUGUAGAUUCCAUCUACUCUGUAAUAAGCAUUGGCAUAUCAUUGACAGGGUCAGGAAGCUGUAAAAAUGAGAGAUCAGUCAGUUUGAAAUAUCAAAACUUGACCAGAAGAUCAAGUUCAAACCAGCUAUGUUGCUCGAAUCCUCCAAAAAGCGUGUUGGCAACGUUGUAGGAUCUGAGUAACAUAGCAGACCAGUAUAAUGGUCUUCUUUCUUCUUUUCCAACAUACAGGGAAAAGGAUUGGAAGAGCUUAAUAUCAACCAAACAGAGCUCAUCUUGGAGUUCUACAUGUAAUAGACAAAGAGGCACGUUCGCUACAACAACAACAACAACCCAGUAUAAUCCCACAUAGUGGGGUCUGGGAGGGUAGUAUGUACGCAGACCUUACCUCUACCCUGGGGUAGAGAGGCUGUUUCCAAAUA